UACGAAGGGGGCUAGCGUUGUUCGGAAUUACUGGGCGUAAAGCGCACGUAGGCGGCUGAUUAAGUCAGGGGUGAAAUCCCGAGGCUCAACCUCGGAACUGCCCUUGAUACUGGCCAUCUCGAGUCCGGAAGAGGUUAGUGGAAUUCCCAGUGUAGAGGUGAAAUUCGUAGAUAUUGGGAAGAACACCAGUGGCGAAGGCGGCUAACUGGUCCGGUACUGACGCUGAGGUGCGAAAGCGUGGGGAGCAAACAGG
rnacentral:rRNA from 1 species